GAAUAUUGGUCAAUGGACGAAAGUCUGAACCAGCCAUGCCGCGUGGAGGAUGAAGGCCCUCUGGGUUGUAAACUUCUUUUAUAUGGGACGAAAAAAGAUCUUUCUAGAUCACCUGACGGUACCAUAUGAAUAAGCACCGGCUAACUCCGUGCCAGCAGCCGCGGUAAUACGGAGGGUGCAAGCGUUAUCCGGAUUCACUGGGUUUAAAGGGUGCGUAGGUGGGUUGGUAAGUCAGUGGUGAAAUCUCCGAGCUUAACCUGGAAACUGCCAUUGAUACUAUCAGUCUUGAAUAUUGUGGAGGUCAGCGGAAUAUGUCAUGUAGCGGUGAAAUGCUUAGAUAUGACAUAGAACACCAAUUGCGAAGGCAGCUGGCUACGCAUAUAUUGACACUGAGGCACGAAAGCGUGGGGAUCAAACAGG
rnacentral:rRNA from 1 species